rnacentral:piRNA from 1 species
UCAAGUUCUAUGUGAUUCUAGGGUGAGCU